rnacentral:rRNA from 1 species
AGCUCCAAUAGUGUAUGCUAAUGUUGUUGCGGUUAAAAAGCUCGUAGUUGAAUCUUGGCAGGCAGGGCUCGGUUCGAUCUUGUCGCUACUGAGCUUCUUUGCCUGUGAUUGUGUCGGAGGUCUCAUGGUGCUCUUAACCGAGUGUCAUGAUGCGCCGGCAGGUUUACUUUGAAAAAAUUAGAGUGCUCAAAGCAGGCUUCACAAGCUUGAAUAUUCGUGCAUGGAAUAAUGGAAUAGGACGUCGUUUCUAUUUUGUUGGUUUUCGGAAAUCGACGUAAUGAUAAAUAGGGACAGUCGGGGGCAUUAGUAUUCAGACGACAGAGGUGAAAUUCUUGGACCGUCUGAAGACUAACUACUGCGAAAGCAUUUGCCAAGAAUGUUUUCAUUAAUCAAGAACGAA